rnacentral:misc_RNA from 1 species
GAUGAAGAACGUAGCGAAAUGCGAUAAGUAAUGCGAAUUGCAGAAUUCAGUGAGUCAUCGAAUCUUUGAACGCACAUUGCGCCCUGUGGUAUUCCGCAGGGCAUGCCUGUUCGAGCGUCAUUUCAACCCUCAAGCCUCGCUUGGUGUUGGGCCCUGCCCGCCGCGGCCGGCCCUAAAGAUAGUGGCGGCGCCGCCUGGCCCUCAGCGUAGUACAGCUCUCGCUCCAGGGUCCGGCGGCAGCCUGCCAGAACCCCCCAACUCUGUGGUUGACCUCGGAUCAGGUAGGGAUACCCGCUGAGCUUAAGCAUAUCAAUAAGCGGAGGA